GAUGAACGCUGGCGGCGUGCCUAAUACAUGCAAGUAGAACGCAGAGGAUUGGUGCUUGCACUAAUCUAAUGAGUUGCGAACGGGUGAGUAACGCGUAGGUAACCUGCCUGGUAGCGGGGGAUAACUAUUGGAAACGAUAGCUAAUACCGCAUAAUAGUUUAUGACUCAUGUUAUAAACUUGAAAGAUACAACUGUAUCACUACCAGAUGGACCUGCGUUGUAUUAGCUAGUAGGUAGGGUAACGGCCUACCUAGGCGACGAUACAUAGCCGACCUGAGAGGGUGAUCGGCCACACUGGGACUGAGACACGGCCCAGACUCCUACGGGGGGCAGCAGUAGGGAAUCUUCGGCAAUGGGGGGAACCCUGACCGAGCAACGCCGCGUGAGUGAAGAAGGUUUUCGGAUCGUAAAGCUCUGUUGUUAAGGAAGAACGGGAGUAGGAGUGGAAAGCCUACUUUGUGACGGUACUUAACCAGAAAGGGACGGCUAACUACGUGCCAGCAGCCGCGGUAAUACGUAGGUCCCGAGCGUUAUCCGGAUUUAUUGGGCGUAAAGCGAGCGCAGGCGGUUAGAUAAGUCUGGAGUAAAAGGCUAUGGCUCAACCAUAGUGUGCUCUGGAAACUGUUUAACUUGAGUGCAGAAUGGGAGAGUGGAAUUCCAUGUGUAGCGGUGAAAUGCGUAGAUAUAUGGAGGAACACCGGUGGCGAAAGCGGCUCUCUGGUCUGUAACUGACGCUGAGGCUCGAAAGCGUGGGGGAGCGAACAGG
rnacentral:rRNA from 1 species